rnacentral:rRNA from 1 species
AGAGAGAGACAUGCGCGCAUAUCAAUAAGCGGAGGAAAAGAAACUAACAAGGAUUCCCUUAGUAACGGCGAGUGAAGCGGGAAGAGCUCAAAUUUGAAAUCUUCAAGGUUUUACCUUGACGAAUUGUAGUUUAAAGAAGUGUUUUCUGCUGAAGUUUUGGUAAAAGUUCUUUGGAAUAGGACAUCAUAGAGGGUGAGAAUCCCGUAUUUGACCAUUAUUUUCAGCUUUGUGAUACACUUUCAAAGAGUCGGAUUGUUUGGGAAUGCAGUCCAAAAUGGGUGGUAAAUUUCAUCUAAAGCUAAAUAUUGGCGAGAGACCGAUAGCGAACAAGUACCGUGAGGGAAAGAUGAAAAGAACUUUGAAAAGGGAGUUAAACAGUACGUGAAAUUGUCAAAAGGGAAGCGUUUGACACCAGUGUUGUUUUCCUCGAAAAUCAAUUAAAAAUGGCUCGAUUUUGUAUUGUUGAGACCUUAAAAGCUCACUGUACAUUUUUCGUGUCUUUUUUAAUGCACUUUUCGUUUAACAAGUCAACAUCAGUUUCUUUUGUUGUAAAAGGGUCAUUGGAAGGUGGCUUUCUUUUCGGAGAAAGUGUUUAUAGCCUUUGGCCUCUGCAAUCGGAGAGACUGAGGUCUGCAGCGUAGACUCUUCGGGGUUAGAUACAUUUGUGCUAAGUUAUAGCUUUUUAUAGACAACUUGUUGACUAUAAUUAGUCUUGUAGCUUACUCGCUUAUGCUAUUUUACCUACGCUUAGGAUGUUGAAGAUGUAGCACAUCAU